CAUUAGAUGACUGAAAGUAAGUACUGGUCUCUUAAACCAUUUUAUAAUAGAUUAACAACUAUUUCUAAUG
rnacentral:tRNA from 1 species